UGUGUGUACCUCUGAGUGUGAGUGUGUAGUGUCCAGUCUGGGUGUAGCUCACUGUAGGGCUGUAGCUCUCGAGACUUCUACAACACCGAAGGUUCUGGAACUCUCCUGUCUGCAUCUCCACGGCAACCGCCUGUUCCUCCCUGGACGCCGGGCAGUACUGUAGGGGCACUGUCUCCAUGGCAACGCGAGCCAGGCCCAGCCGACACCCACCCAACAACGAGACAGGAGAGGAGGGGGCCGUGAGGAAGGCCUGAUCAUCAUCAUCCUCAUCCUCAUCUUCAUCAUAGUUGGUCUCCAGGAACUCCAUGGAAGCUUCCCACAGACUGCCCUCUGACAGAGAGAUGUCACAACUACACUGUUACUACAGACUGCCCUCUGACAGAGAGAUGUCACAACUACACUGUUACUACAGACUGCCCUCUGAUACAGCCACCGUUUCACCUACAUCACUCAUUUAGUGGUUAAUAGAGGCUACUCCAUCACUCAUUAAGUGGUUAAUAGAGGCUACUCCAUCACUCAUUUAGUGGUUAAUAGUGGCUACUCCAUCACUCAUUUUGUGGUUAAUAGUGACUACUCCAUCACCCAUUGUCACGCCCUGGUCGAAGUAUUUUGUGUUUAUCUUUAUUUAUUGGGUCAGGCCAGGGUGUGGCAUGGGUUUUUGUAUGUGGUGUGUAUAUAUGGGGGAUUGUAGCUAGUGGGGUGUUCUAGAUAAGUCUAUGGCUGUCUGAAGUGGUUCUCAAUCAGAGGCAGGUGUUUAUCGUUGUCUCUGAUUGGGAACCAUAUUUAGGCAGCCAUAUUCUUUGAGUUUGGUGUGCGUGAUUGUCCUUAGUGUCUUUGUUCCUGUCGCUGUGUUAGUUGACACAAGUAUAGGCUGUUUCGGUUUUCGUUACGUUUAUUGUUUUGUAGUGUUUUGUGUGUAUUCGUGUUACGUUUGUUUGAUUAAACAUGGAUCGCAAUCUACACGCUGCAUUUUGGUCCGAUCUUUGCUACACCUCCUCGUCCGAGGAGGAGACAGUAGAAAACCGUUACACCCAUUUAGUGGUUAAUAGUGGCUACUCCAUCACUCAUUUAGUGGUUAAUAGUGUCUACUCCAUCACUCAUUUAGUGGUUAAUAGUGGCUACUCCAUCACUCAUUUAGUGGUUAACAGUGUCUACUCCAUCACUCAUUUAGUGGUUAAUAAUGGUUAAUAGUGGCUACUCCAUCACUCAUUUAGUGGUUAAUAGAGGCUACUCCAUCACUCGAGGUGCUAAGUGGUUUUUAGUGGGCGUAUAUCUCUCCACGUGCCUUUUGUCAUUUCUCUGCACCUUCCUGCUGCGUCAGAGGUGAAAUGGACUGCUGUACCUAAUUAUUCUAUAUCAACAUUUUUAUGUGGUUAUUGAGGGAAGUAAUUACCUAGAUAAUUAUUGAUAUCAUUUAUCACCAUUAUAUCAUUUAUCACCAUUUAUACCAUUUAUCGACUGCCCUUUGAGACAUGCUACAACAACAACGUUACAACUACACCCUUACUACAACCUUACUACAGACAUGUUACAACUACACCCUUACUACAACACUACUACAACCUUACUACAGACUGCCCUUUGAGAUAUGUUACAACAACAACGUUACUACAACCUUACUACAGACAUGUUACAACUACACCCUUACUACAACACUACUACAACCUUACUACAGACAUGUUACAACUACACCCUUACAACAACACUACUACAACCUUACUACAGACUGCCAUUUGAAACAUGUUACAACUAGAACCUCUACUACAACCUUACUACUGACUGCCCUUUGAGACAUGUUACAACUACAACCCUACUACAACCAUGUUACAACUACAACAUAAAUACAACCUUAAUACAGACUGCCCUUUGAGACCUGUUACAACUACAAUGUUACGAUAACCUUCCUACAACAUUACUACAGACUGCCAUUUGAGACAUGUUAUAACUGCAACGUUACUACAACCUUACUACAGACAUGUUACAACUACAACGUUUCUACAACCUUACUACAGAUUGCCCUUUGAGACAUGUUACAACUACAAUGUUACUACAACACUACUACAACCUUACUACCGGGUUCUGUUCCUCUAAAAUCAGUCUGACCUGUGUAUUACUACAUUACUAAUCAGUCUGACCUGUGUAUUACUACAUUACUAAUCAGUCUGACCUGUG
ensembl:lncRNA